GUCGUUGUGCCAGAGUGGUUAAUGGGUAUGACUCGAAUAACUCAUUUAUUCAGUAAUCAUAUGCCUUCGGGCGCGCAAGUUCGAAUCUUGUCAACGACG
rnacentral:tRNA from 2 species